UGAGGAAUAUUGGUCAAUGGGCGCAAGCCUGAACCAGCCACGUCGCGUGAAGGAAGACAGCCCUACGGGUUGUAAACUUCUUUUGUAAGGGAAUAAAGUGUAGUACGUGUACUAUUUUGCAUGUACCUUACGAAUAAGGAUCGGCUAACUCCGUGCCAGCAGCCGCGGUAAUACGGAGGAUCCGAGCGUUAUCCGGAUUUAUUGGGUUUAAAGGGUGCGCAGGCGGGAGAUUAAGUCGGCGGUGAAAUUUUGCAGCUUAACUGUAAAAGUGCCUUCGAAACUGGUUUCCUUGAGUGUAGAUGAAGUAGGCGGAAUUUGUGGUGUAGUGGUGAAAUGCAUAGAUAUCACGAGGAACUCCGAUUGCGCAGGCAGCUUACUAAACUACUACUGACGCUCAGGCACGAAGGCGUGGGGAUCAAACAG
rnacentral:rRNA from 1 species